ACAGAGACACCGUGGACCACCUUGAGUGAAGCUUGCGGACCCCAGCUUGGAAGCCCCUUCCCCACGAUAUUCUGUUUGGGCAACAGGGCAUAUGGAAGAUGAAAGGGUACCAAGUCUUUCAUCAAAUAGGAGGCAGUAGGUAAGGGAGAGGAAGAGGGUGGGGAAGAGAGAGGUUAGAAUAUGCCCUUUGGCUGCUCUUUACUGUGUGGUGAAAUUUCACAAUAUCUCACCUCAUAUACUAUAUGGGCCCUGAAAGCAGCUGGAAAGAUUUAGAGGCGAAUGCCUCUUUUGGUAUGAGAUUGCCUCUCUGCAUGUUGCGAGGGCUGAGAAAUUGGCUCAAAUGAAAAGCCCAGAAUAAGGAAAGGAGCUCGAGGCGAUACGGCAGCCUAAUCGGUGCCCUCUGUUAAAAGAAUCAGCCACUUGACUGCUCAUUAAGUAACAGCGAAACACAGGCCGGAGCCCAGGAGUGCAGAUGUCUCCAAGUGAUUACUUUGUGCUUUAAUGAGAUCAUCGGCAGUGUCAUGAGGCAACCCUGUCCAACUACGAACAGUUUGAGAGUAUGUUGCCAUCUUAGACACAAAUUCAGUUUGUGCAGCGCGGAAAGUACACUUUAUAGGAAGAUUGGCACAAAGGUCUGUCAAAAUGGAUAUAGCAGGAAGGAUAAAGAGAUGGGGAAGGAGACUCUGAGUCUUCGUCUGCUGAAGCACCCCGCAACCAAACUGCAGAGAACAGGAGAGUGCGGUCCUGCUGGGUGCUGCUUCACUAAUGCAUUCUCUGUGGGGAAUAUAGGAUUGCACCCUCUCACUCCAUGACCUCAGGCAUCCACUGGUUGGUGGAUAUGCAGGCGAGGUCUUUAGAUGCAGAGCUGAAGCCACUUCACUGUAGUGGAUUCAAGUUUUCUUUAGUUCUUCCUUUUGUAGCUUGCUAUUUUUAUUUGCUGGCUGCCUUAUAUGCAUAAAAAUGAUUUUGUUGCUGUUGUUUUAAGCUGCGUCAGUUUUAAGCUGCCAUGGAAAGGUGGCUAUAAAUAUUUCA